rnacentral:lncRNA from 1 species
GCUCCCUUCGCCGCGCCUCGCGUGCUAGCGGUGCCCUUGUGAGCCACUGCGUUCUCCAAGGCCAGAACGGGACAGAUGGAGAAAUUGAGAUGAGAGCUCAUCCACAAGAUUACCCAUCAAUGAGCACCAAUAGCAACCAAAUCCACUAGAAGACUGGGAGCUUUUAAGUCAAGAAACUUACAUCAGUAUCAUCAUUCCAAGAAGCGGUAUCCAAGCUGUUUUAUCGAAAGUGCGCAUGGGAGAUGGUGCUGUGAGUGGGGAGUGAGUCAAAAACUCCGCUGGGGUGUACAAAAGUCUACUCAAAUGUCCACAGCAUCUGUGGGGGAUGGAGAAUAGUUGGAGGAUCUUUCUCCAGAAUCCUUCUGUUCUGUAGUACAAGUAUUACUCAUUAUAGACUAGCACGAAAAAUCAAGUGAAAUGCGAACUUAAGAGUUUAAAAAGAAUAAAUGGUGCUUUUCUGGCCUAUUAGUAAUAAAUUAAAUAAAAAUAAUUUUAAUUUGUAAGUAAUGAAUGCUAAUCUACAUUGUAUUAAUUGGGCUUAACCAGAGAGUUUUUGUUUACAUACAUUAGGCAAACAAACAAUAGGAAUGAGGAUUUUUAAUAAAGAAGGAAGCCAGAAACACACACACACAAGCACACACACACACACACACACACACACACACACACACACCAAGUAAGAGAAUACUAAAAGAUCAGAGAAAAUGUAAUUAUACUUAUCAAAAUGUUUUAAUGCAGUGGCCUAUUAGUUUCAGAAUAUAAAAUUUAUUUGAUUUGUUGAGCAACUUGGAGCUUAUUUUUUAAUCCUUUCAGAUAAUAGGAACUUGAAACAUACUUGGCUGUGUAUAAGAUAUAUGUGAUAUUAGAAAAUCAUAUAUAUCUGUUAAUAUAUAUUCAAAUAUAUUACUAAGCAAAAAUAUAUUUACAUGUUUAUAUCAAUGAUGCAAUUAAUAAAUGUUUUCACAUCCUGU